AUUGAACGCUGGCGGCAGGCUUAACACAUGCAAGUCGAACGAGUGGCGGACGGGUGAGUAAUGCUUGGGAAUCUAGCUUAUGGAGGGUGAUAACUACGGGAAACGGUAGCUAUUACCGCGUACAAUAGGUUGCGCCCAAGUGGGAUUAGGUAGUUGGUGAGGUAAAGUCUAACGAAGCCGACGAUCUCUAGCUGGUCUGAGAGGAUGACCAGCCACACUGGGACUGAGACACGGCCCAGACUCCUACGGGAGGCAGCAGUGGGGAAGAUUGCGCAAUGGGGGCAACCUGACGCAGCCAUGCCGCGUGAAUGAAGAAGGCCUUCGGGUUGUAAAGUUCUGUCGGUAGCGAGGCGUUAACUACAGAAGAAGCACCGGCUAACUCCGUGCCAGCAGCCGCGGUAAUAC
rnacentral:rRNA from 1 species